GGAGGGGUGUCCGAACUGGCAAGGAGCCGGUCUUGAAAACCGGUGAAGGGCGAAAGCCUGUCUGGGUUCGAGUCCCAGUCCCUCCGCCA
rnacentral:tRNA from 1 species